rnacentral:lncRNA from 1 species
ACCUUUUUGUGUUCCUUGAGCUCAGUCAGGAAGGGCCCUCAUGACUGGGCCUCAUGCCAAAAAACUAGUUACAAAGAAGCUAGAGUUCCAGACUGCGCCUAAGCUUCAUGAGACCUCUCCUCGUCUGCACAGACGAGUGGCCAACACUGGAGCCCAGGCUAUUGCUUCCCAGUCUGGUGGUGAAUCGUCCAUAGUCUGGCUGGAGUGCAGCGGUGCAAUCUUGGCUCACUGCAACCUCCACCUCCUGGGUUCAAGCAAUUCUCAGCCUCCCGAGUAGCUGGGAUUACAGGGACAGGCAGGGGAGCCCAGCGGCAUGCUGGAUAUGAAUGUAUCUUCAGCCUUCAAGUUACCAUUGGCCAGAGGGAAGAGUGGCCCCAAACUCUGAAGAGCGCUGGCAAGGCUCCCCAUCUUCCUCUCCCUAGCCUCCACAGGAACAUCACAGUAUGGCUUGGCAUUUUUUUUUUUUUUUUGAGACGGAGUCUCACUCUGUCACCCAGGCUGGAGUGCAGUGGUGUGAUCUCAGCUCACUGCAAGCUCUGCCUCCCGGGUUCAUGCCAUUCUCCUGCCUCAGCCUCCCGAGUAACUGGGACUACAGGCGCCCGCCACCACGCCCAGCUAAUUUUUUGUAUUUUUAGUAGAGACGGGGUUUCACUGUGUUAGCCAGGAUGGUCUCAAUCUCCUGACCUUGUGAUCUGCCCGCCUCAGCCUCCCAAAGUGCUGGGAUGACAGGCGUGAGCCACGCGCCCAGCCUGGCUUGGCAUCUUUAGGGCAGAUCUCAGUAUGCCUUGCAUUCCAAUUCAUCUCCAGAAUCCUACACUUCCUCCAAGGUCAGUCCUCAUGCGAGUCUCCAACCUCAUCCCCACUUCAUUUUCCUCAUUGUACUUACCAUCUUUUAUUCGUAUCCCACCAAAUUUUGGCUUUGUUAGCUAUACUGCAAAUAGUAGAUGCUCAAUAAACUACUAGUGAAUGAAUGA